CCAGGCUGGUCUCAACUUCCUGACUUCAAGCGGUCCUCUUGCCUCAGCCACCCAAAGUGCUGGGAUUAUAGGGGUGAGUCACCAUGCCCAACCUGGUAAAUUUGACUCAUAAUGAAGUUUGCGUUUGAAUAAGACAAAGUAUUCAGGAAUUUAUAUUUGGAGAGGGCAAGAUGGAUGGUUAGAAUAUCUACUUGGGUCCAGAAAAACAACUUAAGACCAGAGGCCACCCACCCAAGAGACAAGCGGGGAGCCAGGAGAGACGAACGCCAUGUGAGGUGCUUGCAACGUUGUGGGAGGAUUUUGAGCCUAGAUGAACAAUUCUUACGAUAUUUCUUCUAGCAGUCAUUUUUUUCCUUCAAUUUUGAAGACUGUUUUCAUUGCAAAUUGUAUCAUCCAGAAAUGGCUGCAACACUCUCUCCCAUCCCGUUUUUGACCCUGAUGGAAGUGAUGCUAGGUGUCUUCCAAGGCUGGGAUAUGAAGGGUCAUAUGCCUUUCACCUGGUUCUACUGGGAUGCCAGCUUUUGGAACCACCAUGCUUUGAGGAAGCCCAGGCAGCCUGCAGAGAGGCCCACUUGAGGAAGAAUCACAGCCCUUUGCUGGCAGCCCAGGCUAACAGCCAGCGUCAACCUGCUAGCCACGUGAGUAAGCCAUCCUGAAAGGAGAAAGGUCCACACCCCAGUGGAGCUGAUGCCACAUGAAGUAGAGAAGAGCUGUCCUCACCAGCCAGUGUCCAAAUUGCGGAUUCAAGAGCAAAUGAAUGAGCCUUCUUGCUUUAAGCCAUGAUAUUUUGGGCUGGGUUUUUACACGGUAAGACAACUGAUACAGUUCCCUAUUUAUGUAAACACUAAACACGCUCUUUGGUGUUUGUGUUGAGUAAACUGCUUUUAUUUAGAACUGCCUCUCCUUUUCACAAGCAGCUGUCCCAACAAUUGUUCUACCCUAGAUUCUGCAAUGAGGGCUGGAACCACUGAGGAAGGUGAGAAGUGACAGACAAGUGAACUAUUGUUUUUGAGUCCUCCUUGUUCGAUGACUAUGAGGAGGGAAGGAGGAUAGUUUCCUCUUCUCCUACACUUGAAGCUCCUGUCAGCCCCCUUUCUCACAUGUCCUCCAAAGGCCUCUGGGAUGUGCAGGUAGGUGGCUACAUUUGGUUUUUUUUCAUAGACACACUGAUAAGACUAUUGUUUUGUAUUUCCAAAAAGUCAGUACCUCUUAAAAGAAGAUGACAGACACUCCCGUAUCUGAUAUACAUAGCAUUCCUGGAUAUAUUACUGCAUUUAUUAGUGACAUCGAUGACAUUCAGGAAGGGGCAACCAUCCUUUCUGGGUCCAAAGCUCAGCCAUACGCCAAGAGGAAAAGAUUUGAUCAGACUCACUCCUCACUGUAAGCUGAUACAGUAUAUCUCUCUUUAGCUGAUCUGAAACCCAGUUGAGACAUGUCUAAUGAUGAUGAUGAUGACGAACUUUUCCCUUUGUAUCUUAAUUUUCUUCCCCUUCCUCUCUGCCUUCAUCCCUUGUUCCACUCUGUUUCCAGUAGAAUUAUCCAGAAGAAAUUUGUUCUCCUCUUUAGAUAGAUCCUUCGAAC
rnacentral:lncRNA from 10 species